rnacentral:tRNA from 1 species
GCGAGAUUGGCUCAGUUGGUAGAGCGUGAGUCUCAUAAUCUCAAGGUCGUGAGUUCGAUCCUCACAUCUCGCA